GGCAGGCCUCAGGGGAGCUGGUGGUGUAGAUGCCGGUGACGAUGCCACUGUAGGAGACCCAGGAAGAUUCACCUUAGGGGAGGGCCUUCCAAGGAAGUCUGUCUGGCCCCUCAGCCCAGCACACUGGGCUUCCAGCGCCCCUGAAUGUGAUCACAAAUUAAAAAUUCCUCCUACGCCUGGACUACAGAAAAGGUGACUUUCUCCCAUGGGCACCUCUAGAAGCUCACGCUCCUCUGUAUUCACCUGUUCACCCAGGUUGCCAAGAAGAGCAGAGGUUUCUCCUAAAAGGAAAGAACUUGAAGCAGCAAAGGUACAAUUAGGCAAACAGACAAUAUCCACUGUCUGGAAGGUGCAGUGCAGUGCAGAACACGAACUGGUACAGCUUUCUUGGGGGCAACUGGCAAUAUAUAUCCAAAGGCUUGAAACAGAAACAUCCUUGCACUUAGCAAUCAUACUUUCCGGAAGUUACUCAAGGGAAGCAAUCAGAGACAUGUACAGCGAGACUGUGGAGAUGGAUAUCUGUACAGCUCCGUGCCUAUUAGCAAAGCCAUUGGGAACAACCCGAAUGUCCAACAGGGGACUGGUCUCCUAUUCAGUUCAUUAUGGUAGAGCCAUAUCAUGGAUUCCCAUGCAGCCAUUAAAAUAAAGUACAAAAAAAUAUUUAA